rnacentral:rRNA from 1 species
UACGAAGGGUGCAAGCGUUACUCGGAAUUACUGGGCGUAAAGCGCGCGUAGGCGGCUUUGCAAGUCGAGUGUGAAAUCCCCAGGCUUAACCUGGGAACUGCAUUCGAGACUGCAUAGCUAGAGUAUGGGAGAGGGAAGUGGAAUUUCAGGUGUAGCGGUGUAAUGCGUAGAUAUCUGAAGGAACAUCAGUGGCGAAAGCGACUUCCUGGACCAAUACUGACGCUCAUGUGCGAAAGCGUGGGGAGCAAACAGG